rnacentral:rRNA from 1 species
GGGUUGUGAGGUUAAGCGACCAAGCGUACACGGUGGAUGCCCUGGCAGUCAGAGGCGAUGAAGGACGUGCUAAUCUGCGAUAAGCGCCGGUAAGGUGAUAUGAACCGUUAUAACCGGCGAUGUCCGAAUGGGGAAACCCAGUGUGACUCGUCACACUAUCAUUAACUGAAUCCAUAGGUUAAUGAGGCGAACCGGGGGAACUGAAACAUCUAAGUACCCCGAGGAAAAGAAAUCAACCGAGAUUCCCCCAGUAGCGGCGAGCGAACGGGGAGGAGCCCAGAGCCUGAAUCAGCAUGUGUGUUAGUGGAAGCGUCUGGAAAGGCGCGCGAUACAGGGUGACAGCCCCGUACACAAAAGCGCACAUGCUGUGAGCUCGAUGAGUAGGGCGGGACACGUGGUAUCCUGUCUGAAUAUGGGGGGACCAUCCUCCAAGGCUAAAUACUCCUGACUGACCGAUAGUGAACCAGUACCGUGAGGGAAAGGCGAAAAGAACCCCGGCGAGGGGAGUGAAACAGAACCUGAAACCGUGUACGUACAAGCAGUGGGAGCCUCUCUUUAUGGGGGGUGACUGCGUACCUUUUGUAUAAUGGGUCAGCGACUUAUAUUCUGUAGCAAGGUUAACCGCAUAGGGGAGCCGAAGGGAAACCGAGUCUUAACCGGGCGUUAAGUUGCAGGGUAUAGACCCGAAACCCGGUGAUCUAGCCAUGGGCAGGUUGAAGGUUGGGUAACACUAACUGGAGGACCGAACCGACUAAUGUUGAAAAAUUAGCGGAUGACCUGUGGCUGGGGGUGAAAGGCCAAUCAAACCGGGAGAUAGCUGGUUCUCCCCGAAAGCUAUUUAGGUAGCGCCUCGUGAA